rnacentral:rRNA from 1 species
AUUGAACGCUGGCGGCAGGCUUAACACAUGCAAGUCGAGCGGAGAUGAGGUGCUUGCACCUUAUCUUAGCGGCGGACGGGUGAGUAAUGCUUAGGAAUCUGCCUAUUAGUGGGGGACAACAUUCCGAAAGGAAUGCUAAUACCGCAUACGUCCUACGGGAGAAAGCAGGGGAUCUUCGGACCUUGCGCUAAUAGAUGAGCAUAAGUCGGAUUAGCUAGCUGGGGGGGUAAAGGCCUACCAAGGCGACGAGCUGUAGCGGGUCUGAGAGGAUGGUCCGCCACAAUGGGACUGAGACACGGCCCAUACUCCUACGGGAGGCAGCAGUGGGGAAUAUUGGACAAUGGGGGGAACCCUGAUCCAGCCAUGCCGCGUGUGUGAAGAAGGCCUUAUGGUUGUAAAGCACUUUAAGCGAGGAGGAGGCUACUGAGACUAAUACUCUUGGAUAGUGGACGUUACUCGCAGAAUAAGCACCGGCUAACUCUGUGCCAGCCGCCGCCGUAACAC